rfam:Salmo salar isolate Sally breed double haploid chromosome ssa18, whole genome shotgun sequence.
AAGCUUCCAAUUUGUAAGUCGCUCUGGAUAAGAGCGUCUGCUAAAUGACUUAAA